rfam:Nipponia nippon contig59056, whole genome shotgun sequence.
GAAAUGGAGCCUUUUGGCUCCAUAAACAUAAAUGAAUUAUUGGUGG